rnacentral:rRNA from 1 species
UACGUAGGGGGCGAGCGUUGUCCGGAUUUAUUGGGCGUAAAGAGCUCGUAGGCGGUGUGUCGCGUCGGCCGUGAAAACCUGGGGCUUAACUCUGGGCGUGCGGUCGAUACGGGCAUCACUAGAGUUCGGCAGGGGAGACUGGAAUUCCUGGUGUAGCGGUGAAAUGCGCAGAUAUCAGGAGGAACACCGGUGGCGAAGGCGGGUCUCUGGGCCGAUACUGACGCUGAGGAGCGAAAGCAUGGGUAGCGAACAGG